rnacentral:rRNA from 1 species
AGUGAACGCUGGCGGUAGGCCUAACACAUGCAAGUUGAACGGCAGCACAGUAAGAGCUUGCUCUUACGGGUGGCGAGUGGCGGACGGGUGAGGAAUACAUCGGAAUCUACUUUUUCGUGGGGAUAACGUAGGGAAACUUACGCUAAUACCGCAUACGACCUACGGGUGAAAGCAGGGGAUCUUCGGACCUUGCGCGAUUGAAUGAGCCGAUGUCGGAUUAGCUAGUUGGCGGGGUAAAGGCCCACCAAGGCGACGAUCCGUAGCUGGUCUGAGAGGAUGAUCAGCCACACUGGAACUGAGACACGGUCCAGACUCCUACGGGAGGCAGCAGUGGGGAAUAUUGGACAAUGGGCGCAAGCCUGAUCCAGCCAUACCGCGUGGGUGAAGAAGGCCUUCGGGUUGUAAAGCCCUUUUGUUGGGAAAGAAAAGCAGCAGGUUAAUACCCCGCUGUUCUGACGGUACCCAAAGAAUAAGCACCGGCUAACUUCGUG